rnacentral:lncRNA from 1 species
AAUAAUUUCACUAAUGAAUCUGUUUAAUCAAGUUACCUGAGGUGAACAAGAUACCUGGGGAGAUUUGUAGGAAAGGGAGAGAGAUUUGUCAUAGCUACUCAUGCUAUUCUUAAGUUCGUAAGAGCACAGUAAUUCAGGUCAAUGAGGGAAAUCAGUGAACAAGAAGUAAGUCACUGAAGUGCACUGCUGAAUCAGUUUUAAGUGUGUACUCAGAUGCAAUGGGAAUUGUGGAUGGCCUAAGUCAUGGCAGCAUGGAAAUCUUUUUUAAAGCUUUUCACAUUCUGAACAGACAAACAAACAUAUGUCAUCUGCUGAUUUAAUGUUUAAGGACCCUGUUUGCAGGCCAGCCUCUUCCCAGAUACAUAUCCUUUAUGGACACUGAAAGAGUCUGUUGUGGCAAAGUCACUCAUUUCUUUCCCCUCUCUUAAUAUUACAGAUAUCAGUGUUGCUGUGUGUUUCCUUCUUACGCCCCUCCUGCAGAAAGCCUUCUGAGUGUUCUCCAGAUAGAAAAGCCCUCCCUGCCUGCACUUUCCCAACACUGGCGCUCCAAGGUACACAAGGUGAAAAGCAUGCCAUACCCAACAGGUCAAAAAGCCUGCUCCCUGGUUCUUUGGCUACACGGAAGUCUAAGCUGCAGUGAGCUCAUCUCUCCAGCCCUGAAACCAGCCCCAUAUGCCAGGUAUGAGCUGCCAUGAGAAAUCACUUACUCACCUACCUGGUGCAUCUCUUAGCAGCUGAGCUGCAUUGCACUCGCUAGCAAGAGGCAUAUUGUUUGCUAAGGCUGUUAA